GUCGUCAGUUCCAUGAGUUUGGUACUGGCGCUGGUUGAGGCUGCACCUCCAAUGUUGUGUUCAGUUUUGGGCCCUUCGCUGAGGUCCUGGAGUGUGUCCAGAGAAGGACAUCAAAGCUGUGAGGGGUCUGGGCCACAGGUUGUAUGGGGAGCAGCUGAGGGGGCUGGGAUUGUUCAGUCUGGAGAAGAGGAGGCUCAGGGGAGACCUUACUGCUCUCUAUAACUACCUGAAGAGAGAUUGUGGUGAGGUGGGAGCCAGCCUCUUCUCCCAGGUAACAGCAAUAGGAUGAGAGGGUAUGGCUUCAGGUUGCACCAGGGGAGGUUCAGGUUGGAUAUUAGGAAUAAUUUCUUCUCUGAAAGAGUGGUCAGGCAUUGAAACAGGCUGCUCAGGUUGUUGGUGGAGUCGCCAUCCCUGGAGAUGUUUAGGAAAUGCGGAGAUGUGGCACUGAGAGAUGUACUUUACUGGGCAUGGUGGGGAUGGGCUGAUGGCUGAACUAGAUGAUCUUAGUGGUCUUUUCUUUCCAACCUUAAUGAUUCUAUGGUUCUAUGAUUCUAUGUCUGGCACCCCGUCCAGCUGCAUCCUCAAAACCUCUGCAGAUGGGGAGCAGAUUGUGCCACUGUUCUCAGUGUUAGGCAGCUCUCCUCAUGUUGAGAUGGAAGCCAUCCCAGAGCAGUCAUACUGGAGGGAGCCGCUGACCCCGCAGAACAGCAAGAGCUGUGGAUGUGCCCCAGUUCCUCAGCUGACAGCCUGAUGCAUUGACUUAAAUGAGCCAGAGCAUGUCUGGAAUUACUCAUCACUACAUAGUGAUGCCUGUUCAGAUCAGUCCCACUUGCAACACAACCUUUGAAGCAGCAGCGUCUUGGCAGAGUUGCAGUUUUUCUGUUCAGUCUCAAGGUUCAGCAGUGGCAGCUCAGCACAGUUCCCAUUUCAGAUUACAGGUGAGAAGGUGGGAUAAGAAACAAAGGACCUUGUUUUUUCUCAUGCAGCAUGCCAGUGGUGGGACUGGGAGCUUCUCUGAUGCCUUCUGCACUUCACUACGGACUAGAGGCAUUUGCUCCCACCACGUGGCUUUGCUCCACCUUAGCACAGGGCAGCCUGGUCUGGUGGUUGGCAGUCCUACCUAUUGCAGGGGGCAGGAACUCAAUGGUCUUUAA
rnacentral:lncRNA from 1 species